AUAAGUUGCAGUGUAACAUGCCAACUACCGAUACCCGAGGUGAGCAACUCGUCGCUGAUCUCCAGCCUGUUCCUCAACCACGUGGAGCACACGCUGGACCGCCUCACCGCGCUCAGUGAAGUCGCCAAUCUACUUACAGGCGGAAUGGCGGGUCUCGGCUAGAUGAUGAUUGAAGACUGUAUUUUGUUAUUAUUUCAGAUUGAUAUUCC